AUUGAACGCUGGCGGCAUGCCUUACACAUGCAAGUCGAACGGUAACAGGUCUUCGGAUGCUGACGAGUGGCGAACGGGUGAGUAAUACAUCGGAACGUGCCCGAUCGUGGGGGAUAACGCAGCGAAAGCUGUGCUAAUACCGCAUACGAUCUACGGAUGAAAGCGGGGGAUCGCAAGACCUCGCGCGGACGGAGCGGCCGAUGGCAGAUUAGGUAGUUGGUGGGAUAAAAGCUUACCAAGCCGACGAUCUGUAGCUGGUCUGAGAGGACGACCAGCCACACUGGGACUGAGACACGGCCCAGACUCCUACGGGAGGCAGCAGUGGGGAAGUUUUGGACAAGUGGGGGAAACCCUGAUCCAGCCAUGCCGCGUGCAGGAUGAAGGCCUUCGGGUUGUAAAGCUACUUUUGGUAGGAACGAAACGGUCUGGGCUAAUACCCCGGACUAAUGACGGUACCUGCAGAAUAAGCACCGGCUAACUACGUGCCAGCAGCCGAAC
rnacentral:rRNA from 1 species